AGUGUAUGUGGUGGAUGCCUUGGCGAUCACAGGCGAUGAAGGACGUGACAGCCUGCGAAAAGCUGUGGGGAGCUGGCAAAUAAGCUUUGAUCCACAGAUGUCCGAAUGAGGGAACUCACCUGCUUUGCAGGUAUCCCAUCCUGAAUAUAUAGGGAUGGGAGGCGAACGAAGCGAACUGAAACAUCUAAGUAGCUUCAGGAAAAGAAAUCAACCGAGAUUCCGAAAGUAGCGGCGAGCGAAAUCGGAUCAGCCCAGCACUCGAUAGCAGCCAACUUACGGGAACGGUCUGGAAAGUCCGGCCAUAGAGGGUGAUAGCCCCUUACUGGAAAAGGCAGCUGUGGUACUAAGUGUGCGAUAAGUAGAGCGGGACACGUGACAUCCUGCUCGAAGAUGGGGGGACCAUCCUCCAAGGCUAAAUACUCGUGAUCGACCGAUAGCGUACCAGUACUGUGAAGGAAAGGUUAAAAGAACCCCGGGAGGGGAGUGAAAUAGAUCCUGAAACCGCAUACAUACAAACAGUAGGAGCCUCGUUAAGGGGUGACUGCGUACCUUUUGCAUAAUGGGUCAGCGACUUACGUUUAAUGGCGAGCUUAACCGUAUAGGGGAGGCGCAGCGAAAGCGAGUUCGAACAGAGCGUUCAGUCGUUAGGCGUAGACCCGAAACCAGAUGAUCUAUCCAUGGCCAGGUUGAAGGUGUGGUAACACACACUGGAGGACCGAACCGACUAGUGUUGCAAAAUUAGCGGAUGAGCUGUGGAUAGGGGUGAAAGGCUAAACAAAUCUGGAGAUAGCUGGUUCUCCCCGAAAACUAUUGAGGUAGUGCCUCGUGUAUGACUCCAGGGGGUAGAGCACUGUUAUGGCUAGGGGGACAUGGCGUCUUACCAAACCAUGGCAAACUCCGAAUACUUGGAAGUUUGAGCACGGGAGACAGAGCACCGGGUGCUAACGUCCGGACUCAAGAGGGAAACAACCCAGACCGCCGGCUAAGGUCCCUAAUAUUGACUAAGUGGAAAACGAAGUGGAAAGGCUAAGACAGUCAGGAAGUUGGCUUAGAAGCAGCCAUCCUUCAAAGAAAGCGUAAUAGCUCACUGAUCGAGUCUUUCUGCGCGGAAGAUGUAACGGGGCUAAGUCAAUAACCGAAGCCGCGGAUUCACACUUGUGUGUGAGUGGUAGGGGAGCGUUCUGUAAGCCUGCGAAGGUGACUCGUAAGGGUUGCUGGAGGUAUCAGAAGUGCGAAUGCUGACAUGAGUAACGUUAAAGCGGGUGAAAAGCCCGCUCGCCGUAAGCCCAAGGUUUCCUGCUCUACGUUCAUCGGAGCAGGGUGAGUCGGCCCCUAAGGUGAGGCUGAGAAGCGUAACUGAUGGGAACAAGGUUAAUAUUCCUUGACCACCGCUGAAUGCGAAGGGGGGACGGAGUAUUGAAGAUCAUCCGGGUGUUGGAUAUCCCGGUUUGCGAGCGUAGGAGGCUGACAGGCAAAUCCGUCAGCGGAUCUCCGAGGCAAAGCAUCGAGCUCUCUUUUGAGCGAAGUGAUUGGAUGUGCUUCCAGGAAAAGCCUCUAAGCUCCAGUUCAGCGGGACCGUACCGCAAACCGACACUGGUGGGCGAGCUGAAUAUGCUCAGGCGCUUGAGAGAACUCAGGAGAAGGAACUCGGCAAAUUGACACCGUAACUUCGGGAUAAGGUGUGCCUUUGUAGCGUGGAGGGAGAAACACCCCGAGCGCGAAGAGGUCUCAGAUAAUCGGUGGCUGCGACUGUUUAUUAAAAACACAGCACUCUGCAAAGACGAAAGUCGACGUAUAGGGUGUGAUGCCUGCCCGGUGCUGGAAGAUUAAUUGAUGGGGUGCAAGCUCCUGAUCGAAGUCCCAGUAAACGGCGGCCGUAAAUAUAACGGUCCUAAGGUAGCGAAAUUCCUUGUCGGGCAAGUUCCGACCUGCACGAAUGGCAUAACGAUGGCCACACUGUCUCCUCCUGAGACUCAGUGAAGUUGAAGUGUUUGUGAUGAUGCAAUCUCCCCGCGGCUAGACGGAAAGACCCCAUGAACCUUUACUGUAGCUUUGCAUUGGACUUUGAACCGAUCUGUGUAGGAU
rnacentral:rRNA from 1 species